rnacentral:sRNA from 1 species
AGCAGUAGAAGGAAGAGCAAUCUCAUCAAAGGGCCAUGGUGAAGCAAAGGACUCCACAGGCCACGUGUCACCUUGCCUUUACUCGAGGAAGACUCCAGGGUGGGAGUGGGCCACGAAGGUGGCAGUGUCUUGAAAGAGUUCACAGCCAAUUGUUAUCGCUUACUACCUCUGCUCAAGACAGUCAGCAGCGAGACCCUGUGACCUAAAUCACCUCCCUGAGACUGACAGGAAGGUAAGCUCCACUUGCUGUAGCAGGAAGACAAAUUCUUUUUCACACAGCCAAGUUAUCACAGUGCACUCCGAUCAGAAUAGCUUUAACUUCCCACUCGGACGUCUCCUGCUGACGGCGUUAUUUAAUAAGGCCUAAAGUAAAAUUGAAAGCGAAGGCGAAGCGUGUCUUCCGAAGUAUUUAUCUUCAGUUCCUGACUGCAGAGAUAAAUCGAGGAGUUGUUUCUCAGCUAAGAAUGACUAGUGCGGCCUUGAAUGGUGGUACACACCUGUGAUCCCAACAUCCAGGAGGCUAAAGCUAGAAGAAUUAUGAUACCAAAGAUGGCCUGGGCUAUAGAACAGCUCCAUACUCCCCAAGACCAAGCCCUGUACAGAUGCAUUUGUGUGGCAGAACCCGAAACUCAGGGAGGCUGGAAGGUCCUUUUUAUUUCUACAGUGAAUGGCAGCCAAAAGGUAAGGAAAUGUCAUCUACCACAGAACUGAAAAGAGUGAAUGAAAGGUUUGAAAUUCCAGACAGUCGGUUUACAUUAACAAAGGUGUUCUGCGAGCCUGAGAAAAGCAAGAGGUAAG